GCUGGGCAUGAUUAUGCAUGCUUGUAAUCCCAGCUACUCAGGAGGCUAAGGCAGGAGGAUUGCAAGUUUGAGGCCAGCCUCAGCAACUUAGUGAGACCCUGUCUCAA
rnacentral:sRNA from 1 species